UACAAUGUUUGACUCUUCGUCUUAUUUAAAAAAAUUAUGAUUAGUAUUUUUAUUGUUGUUAGAUGAUAAAACAUUAAUACUACUUUAUGCGUGACUACUUUUUUUAAUUUUUUUUAUAAUUUUUUCAAAUAGGACGAACGGCUAAACAUUGGAUAAAAAACCCA
rfam:Oryza nivara chromosome 1, whole genome shotgun sequence.